rnacentral:misc_RNA from 1 species
CCAGCAGCCGCGGUAAUACGUUCCCGGGCCUUGUACACACCGCCCGUCACACCACGGGAGUGAGCAACACCCGAAGCCGGUGGCCUAACCCUUUGGGAGGGAGCCGUCGAAGGUGGGGCUCGUGACUGGGGUGAAGUCGUAAGGGGGGGGCGGUACCGGAAUGUGCCACUGGAUCACCUGCUUUCUAGGGAGUUCCAAUUCUGGAGCCGGUAUGACCUCGUAUCAUGU